AUUGAACGCUGGCGGCAGGCCUAACACAUGCAAGUCGAGCGGUAGAGAGAAGCUUGCUUUUCUUGAGAGCGGCGGACGGGUGAGUAAUGCCUAGGAAUCUGCCUGGUAGUGGGGGAUAACGCUCGGAAACGGACGCUAAUACCGCAUACGUCCUACGGGAGAAAGCAGGGGACCUUCGGGCCUUGCGCUAUCAGAUGAGCCUAGGUCGGAUUAGCUAGUUGGUGAGGUAAUGGCUCACCAAGGCGACGAUCCGUAACUGGUCUGAGAGGAUGAUCAGUCACACUGGAACUGAGACACGGUCCAGACUCCUACGGGAGGCAGCAGUGGGGAAUAUUGGACAAUGGGCGAAAGCCUGAUCCAGCCAUGCCGCGUGUGUGAAGAAGGUCUUCGGAUUGUAAAGCACUUUAAGUUGGGAGGAAGGGCAUUAACCUAAUACGUUGGUGUUUUGACGUUACCGACAGAAUAAGCACCGGCUAACUCUGUGCCAGCAGCCGCGGUAAUACAGAGGGUGCAAGCGUUAAUCGGAAUUACUGGGCGUAAAGCGCGCGUAGGUGGUUUGUUAAGUUGAAUGUGAAAUCCCCGGGCUCAACCUGGGAACUGCAUCCAAAACUGGCAAGCUAGAGUAGGGCAGAGGGUGGUGGAAUUUCCUGUGUAGCGGUGAAAUGCGUAGAUAUAGGAAGGAACACCAGUGGCGAAGGCGACCACCUGGGCUCAUACUGACACUGAGGUGCGAAAGCGUGGGGAGCGAACAGGAUUAGAUACCCUGGUAGUCCACGCCGUAAACGAUGUCAACUAGCCGUUGGAAUCCUUGAGAUUUUAGUGGCGCAGCUAACGCAUUAAGUUGACCGCCUGGGGAGUACGGCCGCAAGGUUAAAACUCAAAUGAAUUGACGGGGGCCCGCACAAGCGGUGGAGCAUGUGGUUUAAUUCGAAGCAACGCGAAGAACCUUACCUGGCCUUGACAUCCAAUGAGUCCUUUAGAGAUAGAGGAGUGCCUUCGGGAGCAUUGAGACAGGUGCUGCAUGGCUGUCGUCAGCUCGUGUCGUGAGAUGUUGGGUUAAGUCCCGUAACGAGCGCAACCCUUGUCCUUAGUUACCAGCACGUUAUGGUGGGCACUCUAAGGAGACUGCCGGUGACAAACCGGAGGAAGGUGGGGAUGACGUCAAGUCAUCAUGGCCCUUACGGCCUGGGCUACACACGUGCUACAAUGGCCGGUACAGAGGGUUGCCAAGCCGCGAGGUGGAGCUAAUCUCACAAAACCGAUCGUAGUCCGGAUCGCAGUCUGCAACUCGACUGCGUGAAGUCGGAAUCGCUAGUAAUCGCGAAUCAGAAUGUCGCGGUGAAUACGUUCCCGGGCCUUGUACACACCGCCCGUCACACCAUGGGAGUGGGUUGCACCAGAAGUAGCUAGUCUAACCUUCGGGAGGACGGUUACCACGGUGUGAUUCAUGACUGGGGUG
rnacentral:rRNA from 1 species